rnacentral:lncRNA from 1 species
CCGAGCCGUCCCUCCUGAAGUACGGAAGCUGAUACUGGAGAGCAGCCAAAUCUCUCUAAGAACACACAGUGUGGUGGAGUUAAGAGGAAACAGUACCCACAUGGAUAUGGAUUCUGAUUGGCCUGUUGGUUCAGCAUCCAGAGGAGCCAGCAGUGGAGACUCUGUGGGCGUGAUGAAUCCGACAGCAUGCUUACAUCUGCAAGAUAUUCUACUGUUCACUGUGACUAAGCAGCACUAUCCUCAGUAUGAUGUGGAGAACCUUUUCAACACUAACACAGCCUUCGACUGGGGACCUUUCAGACUCUUAGCGCAGGAGCUAACGAUGGCUCAGUCCACCCAAUCCCUGUUCUCUGUUACUUUCAGUGAACCCGGGGUGUACGUCCUCAAACUGAGCAGCAAUCCAUACAAACACAUGUAUGUGAAGGUUCUGCCGGCUGGAGGAGAGUGCUACGAUAAUGGACCGUUCUUCCCCACUGAUCCACACCAUGUGACCCGCAUGGGCAUCGCUCGCCAGCGCCAGCUCUUACUGAGACCCGACUGGCUAGUGAUCGGAGGACUUCUAGCAGGAGCUGUAGUCGUGCUCU